UACGGCCAUAUUACAUUGAAAUACCGAUUCUCGUGCGAUCACCGAAGUUAAGCAUUGUCGAGCCUGUUCUAUACCUAGAUGAGUGACCGCUUGGGAAUACCAG